rnacentral:rRNA from 1 species
AGUGGACGCUGGCGGCGUGCUUAACACAUGCAAGUCGAACGAGAACGGAUUAUAGCUUGCUAUAAUUGUCAGCUAAGUGGCGCACGGGUGAGUAAUGUAUAGGUAAUAUGCCUCUUACUAAGGGAUAACAAAUGGAAACGUUUGCUAAUACCUUAUACUCCUUAUUAACAUAAGUUAAUAAGGGAAAGAUUUAUUGGUAAGAGAUUAGCCUGUAUUGUAUCAGUUAGUUGGUGGGGUAAUGGCUUACCAAGACUAUGACACAUAACUGGUUUGAGAGGAUGAUCAGUCACACUGGAACUGAGACACGGUCCAGACUCCUACGGGAGGCAGCAGUGGGGAAUAUUGCACAAUGGACGAAAGUCCGAUGCAGCAACGCCGCGUGGAGGAUGAAUGCCUUCGGGUUGUAAACUGCUUUUAUGUGUGAAGAAUCUGACGGUAACACAUGAAUAAGGGUCGGCUAACUACGUGCCAGCAGCCGCGGUAAAAC